rnacentral:rRNA from 1 species
UUAGUGGCGGACGGGUGGAGUAACGCGUGGAUAACCUGCCGUAUACCGGGGAGUAACACUUAGAAAUAGGUGCUAAUACCGCAUAAGCGCACGGCUCCGCAUGGGGCGAGUGUGAAAAACUACCGGUGGUAUACGAUGGAUCCGCGUCUGAUUAGCUAGUUGGCGGGGUAACGGCCCACCAAGGCAGCGAUCAGUAGCCGGCCUGAGAGGGUGGACGGCCACAUUGGGACUGAGACACGGCCCAAACUCCUACGGGAGGCAGCAG